CCUACGGGAGGCAGCAGUAAGGAAUAUUGGACAAUGCUCGCAAGAGUGAUCCAGCCACGCCGCGUGCAGGAAGAAUGCCCUAUGGGUAGUAAACUGCUUUUGAACUAGAGAAAACCCCAGUACGUGUACUGGGCUGAUAGUAUAGUUAGAAUAAGCAUCGGCUAACUUCGUGCCAGCAGCCGCGGUAAGACGAAGGAUGCAAGCGUUAUCCGGAUUCAUUGGGUUUAAAGGGAGCGUAGGUGGACUGAUAAGUCAGUGGUGAAAUCUCCGAGCUUAACUCGGAAAUUGCCAUUGAUACUGUUGGUCUUGAGUACAGUUGCUGUGGGCGGAAUAUGACAUGUAGUGGUGAAAUACAUAGAGAUGUCAUAGAACACCGAUUGCGAAGGCAGCUCACAAAGCUGUAACUGACACUGAGGCUCGAAAGUGCGGGGAUCAAACAGGAUUAGAUACCCUGGUAGUCCGCACCGUAAACGAUGAUUACUCGCUGCUAGGGGGCAACCUUUAGUGGCUUAGCGAAAGCGAUAAGUAAUCCACCUGGGGAGUACGCCGGCAACGGUGAAACUAGAAGUAGUAGACGNGAGAGAGCGACGGACGACGACGACGGAGGGAGGAGG
rnacentral:rRNA from 1 species